rnacentral:ncRNA from 3 species
ACAGAACAAGGCUAUGACAUUAGCCGUGGCGCAAGCCAGAACCGCAUCGCGCAUGCUGAUAAUGUCUACACAAAG